UUGAGUGGGGGAUAACCUCGGGAAACCGAGGCUAAUACCGCAUAAUAUCGCAAGAUCAAAGGAGCAAUCCGCUUUUGGAGGGGGUCGCGGCUGAUUAGCUAGUUGGUGAGGUAAUGGCUCACCAAGGCGAAGAUCGGUAUCCGGCCUGAGAGGGCGCACGGACACACUGGAACUGAAACACGGUCCAGACUCCUACGGGAGGCAGCAGUGGGGAAUUUUGCGCAAUGGGGGAAACCCUGACGCAGCAACGCCGCGUGGAGGAUGAAGCCCCUUGGGGCGUAAACUCCUUUCGACCGGGAAAAUAAUGAUGGUACCGGUGGAAGAAGCACCGGCUAACUCUGUGCCAGCAGCCGCGGUAAUACAGAGGGUGCGAGCGUUGUUCGGAAUUAUUGGGCGUAAAGGGCGCGUAGGCGGUGCGGUAAGUCACCUGUGAAACCUCUGGGCUUAACUCAGAGCCUGCAGGCGAAACUGCCGUGCUGGA
rnacentral:rRNA from 1 species